rnacentral:rRNA from 1 species
GACGGAGGGUGCUAGCGUUGUUCGGAAUGACUGGGCGUAAAGCGCACGUAGGCGGAUUUGUCAGUCAGGGGUGAAAUCCCGGGGCUCAACCUCGGAACUGCCUUUGAUACAGCAAGUCUUGAGUUCGAGAGAGGUGGGUGGAAUUCCUAGUGUAGAGGUGAAAUUCGUAGAUAUUAGGAAGAACACCGGUGGCGAAGGCGGCCCACUGGCUCGAUACUGACGCUGAUGCACGAAAGCGUGGGGAGCGAACGGG